rnacentral:lncRNA from 1 species
CCUUACGUCAUUAAACUUGCAUUCCACAUACUCUGUCUUGCUUCUGCUCACCCUGAACCCUUUAGACUCAAGAGUUUGCCUCCACACCUCUAAUUUGUCAUUCACACCCCCUCGAGUCUCACCUAUCAGAACUACAUUGUCUGCAAAAAGCAUACAUCACAGCACCUCCCCUUGAAUACGCCUCGUCAACACAUCCAUCACCAACGCAA